UACGAAGGGGGCUAGCGUUGCUCGGAAUCACUGGGCGUAAAGCGCACGUAGGCGGCUUUUUAAGUCAGAGGUGAAAUCCUGGAGCUCAACUCCAGAACUGCCUUUGAUACUGAGAAUCUUGAGUAUGGGAGAGGUGAGUGGAACUGCGAGUGUAGAGGUGAAAUUCGUAGAUAUUCGCAAGAACACCAGUGGCGAAGGCGGCUCACUGGCCCAUAACUGACGCUGAGGCACGAAAGCGUGGGGAGCAAACAGG
rnacentral:rRNA from 1 species